GGCCAGUGAUGUAUGGUAAUUGUCCGUACCAUAUGAGGAGUUUUUAGCUCCAUUGAUGUUAUAUUACCUUUAGCUUCUGAGGCCU